UUAAAGCACUUUAGAUUGGGGAGAAGAUGUAUUGUUUAAGAGAUGGUACAUUUGACGGUACCAAUAGAAUAAGCACCGGCUAACUCUGUGC
rnacentral:rRNA from 1 species